CCCAUCCUAAAACAGGCCCUUUUCUUUCUUUAUGUUCAGCUGCUUCCAGGAUGGCAUAGCAUAGAAAUCCACCCGAGAAAUCCCCAUGAUCAGGAGGAAGUCGUCGUUUGAGAGAUAGUCCUGCAUAGAUGAUAGAGGGUCAACUUUUACAGUCUGCUUGGCUAAUGAAUCACUUUAAUGGGCAUCUUCAAAGCUAAAGGUCUUUUCUGCAAUGGAAAAAGUGAGAGUAAGAGGAACUCACCUGCCACCGGAGCAAUCGAGAAGGACGCAGCCAGAAGUACGAAAUUCCUACAGCUUUCGAACAACUUGAGGAUCAAGAAACAUGACAUUAUGGGACAUUGGAAGCCAGUCUGAAGCCAUAGGAUGUACCUUUUUGAUUUAUUUUCAAUGUUAAAAUGCCGUUGUGCCAUCAGAGACCCAAAUGCAUAGCCCAAAUUCAUAAAAGAACAAGGCAAAGUACAGUUGUAAUUUAUUUAUAUUUUAGACAUUUACAGAGCCUUUAUAUACAAACACACAUAUUCUAUAUAUUCUAUAUCCUAUAUAUUCUAUAACCUAAAUUGAAUGUUAUGAACAUUGAAGGACCAAUAGGCAUGUUACAAUGCAAAGCUAAGCAAAUGUCUAUUAUGUUAAUAAUGUGGAAAGCCAGCGUUCAGUGUUCAGUGCUCAUGUUUCAUAAUGGAGAAUAUGUGAAAUGCAGUACAGAGGCAUUGCAUAGAGAUAUCAUUAGUUUCCAUAGGGAUUUGCAUCUGGACAGACAUUGAAACAUACAAUAUUAAGGUACUGAGAGUUUCUAAAAUGUAAAUGCUUUUACCAAUGCACAACUGUAGAGACAGACAUUUUAACGAGGCCUUUGUGAACUGAAAUUGCCAAAAC